GGCCGCGCCCCCCUCAGGACUCCGGCAGUACCGCCCCAGCUCCUGGAGUCAAGGGGAUAUGUGAUGAUUUCAACCUUCAUUCUUAAAGAAAAAAUCCAGACUGACACAACUACCCCUCUGAUAAAGAAUACCCUGGAUUGUCAUCAGCCUGGCCAGAAAUAGAGAACAAGACUGGUCCUUGUAACAGGCAGCCUUCCCCUUUAAGGGCCAAGAGCCCUGGGUUCUGCUAGCCCUGUUCAGUUAGCCCCACACUGCUACACCUAGAUGGGAUGUUGGACUUAAAAGGAGGAAACCCAGUAGUUGAGGCAGGAUGGAGAAGAGAGCAGCAGGGAAACUGCUCCUGUGUGGGGCAAGAAGCUAGCCUUGGGCUAGGAAUUGCCUGAAGGCUGCAGCCUUCCAGAAGCCUUUGGUAGGACGGUAGACUUGGCUUGGACUCUUGGGGGUGACUGGAGCCCAGAAGCUGGUGGGCAGUAGGACAAGCUAUUGCUACUGAUGCCUGUCUGCAGAAGAGGAAGGAAGGUUGAGCCCAGCAUGUUCAAAGAUUCUUUUUGUAUUGUCCUGGUGCUGUUUUGGGGCUUGGACUAAGGGGCUCUGAUCUCUGGAAGGGUUAAGAACAUAAAUGUGACCUGAGGAGGGCCAAGUCACUGUACCCAAAGGAAGAGGCAGGGAGAAGAGGUUGCAAUGAAGGGGCACUCUGGGAUGGUAAGUCUUGUACCAGCACCGUUGCCCUUCUUUAUGGAAGGGCCCCAUAAAUAGACUCUACAUCUCAAAUGUUCAGAUAAUCCACUACCCUUUACUGGUUCUAGAUUCUGCUAAUGGCUGUAGGAGCUGUGCUCGUGGAUUUGUGGGGGAGGGGUAUCUGCUUAGUGCCUGACCAAAAGAGGCAUUUUUGGAAUAAGAAUUUGAUUUCUUUACCUUGCAAGUAGAAUCUGGGGCUUCUGUAUUCAAUGGGUUCAUGUGGGGGCUGAUCUGAAUCCCAUUGAAAUCACCGGGAGUCUUGCUGUUGACUUGAGUGGUCUUUGAACCAGGCCCAUAAUUAAUACUGGUGCUAUACAAAAGGGCCUAAUCCUGCAGUCGUCAUACAGUCAAAAUGCCCAUUGAUUUCAGCUGGAGUGCUACCUAAUACUGGACUGCAUGGCAGUACCCCAAAUUAUCUAAAGUAAUGAGGGACAAUG